AUUGAACGCUGGCGGCAUGCCUUACACAUGCAAGUCGAACGGCAGCACGGGUGCUUGCACCUGGUGGCGAGUGGCGAACGGGUGAGUAAUACAUCGGAGCGUACCUUAUCGUGGGGGAUAACGCAGCGAAAGCUGUGCUAAUACCGCAUACGCCCUGAGGGGGAAAGCGGGGGAUCGCAAGACCUCGCGCGAUUAGAGCGGCCGAUGCCUGAUUAGCUUGUUGGUGGGGUAAAAGCCCACCAAGGCGACGAUCAGUAGCUGGUCUGAGAGGACGAUCAGCCACACUGGGACUGAGACACGGCCCAGACUCCUACGGGAGGCAGCAGUGGGGAAUAUUGGACAAUGGGGACAACCCUGAUCCAACAAUGCCGCGUGAGUGAAGAAGGCCUUCGGGUUGUAAAGCUCUUUUGUCAGGGAAGAAACACCGGCUCUAACACAGUCCGGGAAUGACGGUACCUGAAGAAUAAGCACCGGCUAACUACGUGCCAGCCGCCGCCGUAA
rnacentral:rRNA from 1 species